rnacentral:lncRNA from 1 species
UUUAUACCUAGUAAUCCUUGUCGAGUGUACAUAGAAAUAGUUCAGAAAAAGGAUUACGAGUUCUUGUGAAAAAUACAAUAAUAUAUUGUUCAUUUCUUUCAAGACUCUUUGGAAAUAAAGUACUCAGUUUUCAGUGGUUAAAAUUUCUUAUAUUUUUUUCUUUCUUGCGAUUGAACUAGAGAAAAAUAUGCUGAUAAAAGACAAGGUCGAUCAGCGGAAUAAAGUUAUAACUUUGUGAAAACUACUCCAUCUUCUCUCUAGAACUUUUUUAAAAGCGAACAUUGUUCGUCGGUGGCCGGUGGCUUCUGCCGCCGGUUACCAUCCCUCUCUUUUGUCGUUUUGAUGUGUAUAUUCAAUUUGAUGAUUGAUCUUUUCUUCCGGUUGCGGACUUUUACUUUCGCUAGGCGACUUUUGGUGUGUUUAGGGUCAAUUGAACAGAGCAGUUUAUCAAUCCAUUUGUUUCUCUGAUUCGUUUUGUCCCUAAAAUAAAGAUCCGAUCUUUUGGAUUGGUUUAGGUCUUCCUCUCUUUGAAUUCAUAUUCCAGUUGUUUCCAUAAAUCUUCUUCUUAUUUGUUGGUCAUCUUCAAACUUUAUUCUCUGGCGAUAUCAAUCUUUGCUGUAUACAUCUUUGGCAAAGUAUUCUUAGGAGGUAAAGAUUUGUGCUUUGCUUAUUCACUUCACGAUUUAAGCCGGCCUAAGAAGAGUCAAAGCUUGCUAGUUUGCAAGUGUUUUGGCGAUGGUGGUCUAUAAAUCAAUUAAAGUUUCUGGGAGAGUUUCACAUCCGACAAGGAGAUUGGAGAUGCUUGGUAGCAGAGGCGCAUGGAAGGUGAAGCGAAAUUCGAGAUCGGGAAGAGACCAGUUCGUCAUGUUGAGGUACCAAAACUGGGCAUAGAUUGACACUGAAUUUAAAUUCAAGACGGAGAGGCAUUGCAACGGUGAUCCAGCGAUGGAGCAGCAGCGGAGGUUGCAACCUUUGCAUGAAGUCCACGUGUCCCUGGGAAACCCUAAUAUCAAACACGUGUCUUACAUAAAUACAAUUUUAAAGCGAGGACAACCGUUGUUGCUGUCCAGCCUGCCAUUAAUGUUAAUGUCUUCUUAACUAUUAGUACUCUCUUCAUUUCUGAAAGAAUAAUUUUUCAGAGUAUAAUGUUUGUGUUUAAAAAAAAGAGAGUAUAAUGUUUACAAUCAAAUUUAUUAUUUACUAGGGCAUGUCCGCGCUUCGCGCGGAAUAUUGUUUUAUUGUUGUUAAUUAUUAUUUUUCGGAUGAUAUAGCUAGCUAAUUAUGUGAUCGUCUUUAUUUGCUAAGAACAUUAUUUGGUAUUUUUAUUAUGUUAUGUAGUAAUAG